UGCCCAGCAACUCCUAUCCCUACCUCCUCGCGGUACUGGCCGGGGUACGAGUAACCUUAGGGAAGAUCGGGUAACCAACCCCCGGUGGGAACUUUGGUCGUAUGCUGACAGAGAAGG
rnacentral:ribozyme from 1 species